rnacentral:rRNA from 1 species
GAUGAACGCUGGCGGCGUGCCUAAUACAUGCAAGUCGAGCGAAUGGAUUAAGAGCUUGCUCUUAUGAAGUUAGCGGCGGACGGGUGAGUAACACGUGGGUAACCUGCCCAUAAGACUGGGAUAACUCCGGGAAACCGGGGCUAAUACCGGAUAACAUUUUGAACCGCAUGGUUCGAAAUUGAAAGGCGGCUUCGGCUGUCACUUAUGGAUGGACCCGCGUCGCAUUAGCUAGUUGGUGAGGUAACGGCUCACCAAGGCAACGAUGCGUAGCCGAACUGGGAGGGGGAUCGGCCACGCUGGGACUGAGACACGGCCCAGACUCCUCCGGGAGGCAGCAGUAGGGAAUCUUCCGCAAUGGACGAAAGUCUGACGGAGCAACGCCGCGUGAGUGAUGAAGGCUUUCGGGUCGUAAAACUCUGUUGUUAGGGAAGAACAAGUGCUAGUUGAAUAAGCUGGCACCUUGACGGUACCUAACCAGAAAGCCACGGCUAACUACGUGCCAGCCGCCGCGGUAA